rnacentral:rRNA from 1 species
CAAUUUAUGAUGGCGACCGGCGCACGGGUGAGUAACGCGUAUCCAACCUACCCAUUACUAGGGAAUAACCCAGCGAAAGUUGGCCUAAUGCCCUAUGUAGUCGUUUGAUCGCCUGAGAUUUCGACGAAAGAUUUAUCGGUAUUGGAUGGGGGAUGCGUCUGAUUAGCUUGUUUGGCGGGUAAAGGCCCACCCAAGGCAACGAUCAGUAGGGGUUCUGAGAGGAAGGUCCCCCACAUUGGAACUGAGACACGGUCCAAACUCCUACGGGAGGCAGCAGUGAGGAAUAUUGGUCAAUGGACGAGAGUCUGAACCAGCCAAGUAGCGUGCAGGAUGACGGCCCUAUGGGUUGUAAACUGCUUUUGUUUGGGAAUAAUCGACAUUACGUGUAAUGUUUUGCAUGUACCAUUCGAAUAAGGACCGGCUAAUUCCGUGCCAGCAGCCGCGGUAAU